rnacentral:misc_RNA from 1 species
UUACCGUAGGUGAACCUGCGGUAGGAUCAUUAACAAAUCCGAGUGGGGCCGCUGCGCGGCCCUAUGCGUGCCGGUGGCGUGCGCUGUGGCGCCCGCCGCCGUGUUCGAGUGCUCAGCACAAGUAUGUAGGUGGGACCGAAGCGCAGUAUGCAUGCAUACGGUGGGAACAGCAAACAACUUUUAACAACGGAUCUCUGGGCUCUUGCAUCGAUGAAGAAGCAGC